UAUCAACCCAGAGAAGAGCA
rnacentral:tRNA from 1 species